UACGAAGGGGCUAGCGUUGCUCGGAAUCACUGGGCGUAAAGCGCACGUAGGCGGACUCUUAAGUCGGUGGUGAAAUCCUGGAGCUCAACUCCAGAACUGCCUUCGAUACUGAGAGUCUCGAGUCCGAGAGAGGUGAGUGGAACUGCGAGUGUAGAGGUGAAAUUCGUAGAUAUUGCAAGAACACCAGUGGCGAAAGGCGGCUCACUGGCUCGGUACUGACGCUGAGGUGCG
rnacentral:rRNA from 1 species